UAGGGAAUAUUGCAAAAUGGGCGAAAGCCCGAUGCAGCAACGCCGCAUGGGCGAUGAAGGCCUUCGGGUCGUAAAGCCCUUUUUGAGGGGAUGAGGAAGGACAGUACCCUCAGAAUAAGCCUCGGCUAACUACGUGCCAGCAGCCGCGGUAAAACGUAGGAGGCGAGCGUUAUCCGGAUUUACUGGGCGUAAAGCGCGUGCAGGCGGAUUGGAGAGUUGGAUGUGAAAGCUCCCGGCUUAACUGGGAGAGGUCGUUCAAUACUUCCAGUCUUGAGUGCAGUAGAGGGAAGUGGAAUUCCGGGUGUAGUGGUGAAAUGCGUAGAUAUCCGGAGGAACACCAGUGGCGAAAGCGGCUUCCUGGACUGUAACUGACGCUCAGACGCGAAAGCUAGGGUAGCAAACG
rnacentral:rRNA from 1 species